GUAUAAAAUGUACAUACAAUAAUGAAACAAAAUCUGUAUGGCGGCGGGCGGGAUGGAGAGAGGGAGAGAGAAAGAGUUUCGACCGCCUUUUUGCACAAGAAACGCGCACAUUCUGCAAUUGUGAAAGUGCUAAACCUCAAGCCUUAGGUAAAGCAAGAAGAACCCAGAACAGAACCAGAUCUGAAGCUAUGCAUGGAGACUGCCUUGGCCAUCAUGGAGACCGGAUUAACCGUCAUAGAAACAAGACUGUCAGUUGUGCAAACCAUUAAAAUAAUUCGAUUUUGGAUUAUUAAAGAGAUUGAAGACGAGGAUGAGAUGCUCAUAAAUACUGAACUAUCAGGUGAGUCUUUACAAACGUGCCCUGCAAAGGAUGCAGUGUUCAAGGAACCAAAGCCAGUGGUGCAAGAGGAAGAGGAAGAGGAAGAGGAAGAGG